CUCCCUGGCCUGUUCCUGCAGCACCUCCUGCCCCUGUUCUUUCUGCUACACUGCCUGAACAUGCAAACUUUUUAUGUAAACAGCACCAGACACUAUUUUCUCUGAGGGAUGCCUCCUGUUCCAGCACCAGGAAGCCCUCCUGCCCCACCACCUGGUGAACAUACGUGUGGUUGAGCUGCCUGCACCAGCACCACCCGGUCCGAAGCCUCCUGUUCCUCUGCCAGCACCACCAGGUCCAAAACCACCUGUUCCCGUGCCAGCGCCACCUGGUCCAUAGCUUCCUGUUCCUGUACCAGCGCCACCUGGUCCAUAGCUUCCUGUUCCUGUGCCAGCGCCACCUGGUCCAUAGCUUCCUGUUCCCGUGCCAGCACCACCUGGUCCAUAGCCUCCUGUUCCUGUACCAGCGCCACCUGGUCCAUAGCUUCCUGUGCCAGCGCCACCUGGUCCAUAGCUUCCUGUUCCAGCCCCACCUGGUCCAUAGCUUCCUGUGCCAGCACCACCCGGUCCGAAGCCUCCUGUUCCUGUACCAGCACCACCAGGCCCAUAUCUGCCUGGUCCUGUACCUGCUCCUCCAGUCCUUGACCUCCCGGAGUGUAAACACCUGGUCCAUAGCUGCCUGGUCCUGUGCCAACACCACCUGCUCCAUAACCACCUGGCCUGGUUCCUACACCACCCAGUCCUGUCCCGGCAGAGCCAUCCCCAUAUCCACCUGGUCCAGAGCCACCAGGUCCAUAACUUCCAGAACCGCCAGGCACCAAACCUCCAGAGGUGAACUCACCACCUGGACCCACACCACCGCCAUAUCCCCCCAUUCCACCACCGACUCCACCGGGGCCCACUCCUACACCUCCAGUCCCAAGUGUUCCAGCACCCCCAGGACCACCACCAACGCCUCUGCCUCCAUAGCCUCCAGGUCCGGCUCCAUAUCCACCAUGCCCAGCGCCAUAGCCACCUGGGCCGGCCCCGUAACCUCCUGGGCCAGUACCAUAGCCACCAGGACCAACUCCAUAACUGCCAGGCCCACCAGCCCCAGGUGCCAAGCCUGCUCCUCCAGGACCUCCUCCAACUCCUCCAAGACCACCAGCACCCCCAGGACCACCUCCAACUCCUCCAUGACCAGUUCCAACGCCCCCAGGACCACCUCCAACUCCUCCAGGACUAGUUCCAACGCCCCCAGGACCACCUCCAACUCCACCAGUACCGGCUCCAACGCCCCCAGGACCACCUCCAACUCCUCCUGCUACCCCACCGACUCCACCUACAUUUGCACUCUGUGCUCCAACUCCAGUUCCAGUUGCAGGACUGUCUCCUCUCCCCCCACCUGUUGCACCACCUGA
rnacentral:lncRNA from 1 species